rnacentral:rRNA from 1 species
CAGAGGGCGCGAGCGUUGUCCGGAAUCACUGGGCGUAAAGGGCGCGUAGGUGGCGGCGUAAGGCCGCGGUGAAAGUUCGGGGCUCAACCCUGAAUCGGCCGCGGCGACUGCGUCGCUUGGGCACUGUAGAGGCAGACGGAAUUCCGGGUGUAGCGGUGGAAUGCGUAGAGAUCCGGAAGAACACCGGUGGCGAAGGCGGUCUGCUGGGCAGUGAGCUCGCAAGAGCUCAAUAGCCGACACUGAGGCGCGACAGCGUGGGGAGCAAACAGGAUUAGAUACCCUGGUAGUCCACGCCGUAAACGAUGGGCACUAGGUGCCCCGGGGAGCGACCCUUGGAGUACCGGCGCUAACGCAUGAAGUGCCCCGCCUGGGGAGUACGGCCGCAAGGCUG